ACAAAAAAAAUUAAUGCAAAACCAGCGUGGAAUUAUUAUAAUUAACUUUAAAAAAAAAAACAAGAACACACACACACACAUACAUAUAUAGAAGAAAGCGAUGAAGAGAGCUGACAAACAAUACACAGAAAGCAGAAAAAAGCAAAAACAAAAACAAUUUACUUAUACAUACUAUAUAUAAAUAUUUAACAAAAGAAAAAACCCAUAAUAAUGACUUUUAUGUAAAAUUUUGCGAAUUACCGAAAACCACAGCCAAGUUCUGCUUCAAAAUCAAAAUAAUGCGAAACGAAACAACAAACAAACAAACAAACAAAAAAAGAGAAAAGAAAACGGAAAAACAGAAAAACAGAAAAAAUAAAAACACAACACUACUUUGUAAUAAAAAUGAUAUGUAAACCCCAUUUUUUUGUGUAAUCUAGUAAGUAGACAUGAAACACACACACAUACACACAUACACUGGAAGAAGGAAGAAUUAUAUAUGUAUAUGUAUAUGUAGACUCGGCUCGGCUGCAUUAGGUGUUAAAAUAUAUGCAUAAAAUAUGAUUAUUAUACGGAUGUAUGUAUUUGUUUGUAUGUGUAACGACGGUUCAGUUGCAAUAUUUAUGUGUAGAUAAUGGAAUAUUGAGACGAGAGUUAAAAGCGAUGCUAAACAAUUGGAAAACGAGUGGGAGAAGAGAGCAGGAGGAGGAUGAGGAGGAGGAGCAGAAGUAGGCGUUGGUCAUUUGGGCAUUCCUGCAAACGCUUACGCAUUACAGUGCUGCCAGCCGCUGUUCCCAUAACAUUUCUUUAACAUAACUAUGUUAAUGGAAAGAUCCAUAGUGCCUUCUAUAAUUACGUCACAGGCUGCAUUUGCAAAACAAUAUCGCUCCAUUCGCUAGCACAGAAGCAGAAUGCAGCUAGAAACUCCCAAAUUAACACUUUUUAAUGCAUCUGUUUGCUCCAAUAUCGUUCCAUUGGCGAGGCUCGAGUGAGUUUUGUUUGGGAUAUCAUGCCAGUCCGAUGGAGCUCCUAAACAGAUCUUACAUAAACGGAGUUGAUUGAAAGCAUAAUAUCUGUGGCUAUUCCUGAACAGUUCAGAUGUCGAUAUUGUGGCCUUUUCCGUAAGUCCUUCCAUAAUUUUGAUUACCAUUAAGCACCAAAAUAUAACCUAGUAUUAAUCUUAAACAUCAGUUAUCGAUUUUUUGUUGUAAGUCCUUUAAUAAAUUGUAUUACAAGUAAGCCCCAAAAGAUGUUAAAGCGUUAUGGGAAUACCCAUGGCAUAAAUUGUUGGAGCUUUCCAACUGUUUUUUCCAGCUCUGCAUAUUUAUAUGGCAGCUAGAACCCGAUAGAACGGAUAGCAGGCAAAGAUGUUGCAGCCAAAGUAACUCCUUAAAGAUCCUUAAAAAUUGUUAAACAAAAAGCACUCACGAUGUAAAAUUUGAUUUAUUUAACGCUACAGCUAGCAACAAAUUAAUAAUUAUGUGUAAUAACGACGCUAAGCAAACAAAAUGUAUGAAGAAAAACAAAAAAACAAAAAAAAAAACAUUACUUCCUAGUAAUAUUUAGGCAGCAUAAUACACACACACUCAGACAAAUUGAGACACACAUACACACACACACACACACGCUCUUCUAAUCUUCUAAUUUGUAAUGUAAUGGUAAUUAAAAAAAAACAAAAACAAAAAAAAUAUCGCUACACACAUGCGUGCAUAAAGAACGUUAAUAAGAAAA